UCAGGAUCAGUGAUGUGAUUUCAACUGCGUUAUCUAUCUGAAAAAUCCCUAGUAAGGAUUUGAGAUGACAAUUACCUACUGAGGUCCUGU
rnacentral:snoRNA from 1 species